GCCUGAGUGGCUCAGUCGGUUGAGUGUCUGACUUUGGCUCAGGUCAUGAUCUCAUGGUCCGUGAGUUCGAGCCCCAUGUCAGGCU
rnacentral:tRNA from 1 species